GCUCUCUCUCUCCUUCCCUCCGGUUGUAAAACCUUGCCGAUCUUCACCCCGGAAUACUCAUUCACUCUCCCAGCUCACCCCUCCCUGGAGAUCCUCCACCACGCUACAGCUACGCUGCUCCCGUUUACCCAUUCACUGGAUUUCCAGUGCACCCUAAGUUCUAGUUACCAAAUAAAUCUUUAUUUUUUCA